ACGGCUCAGUAACACGUAGGUGAUCUGCCCUGAAGUGGGGGAUAACGACUCGAAAGAGUCGCUAAUACCGCAUGUGACCACCAACUCGUUUCGGUGCUCAAAGUCGCAAGACGCUUUAGGAGGAGCCUGCGGCGGAUUAGCUAGUUGGUGAGGUAAUGGCCCACCAAGGCUUCGAUCCGUAGCUGGUCUGAGAGGAUGGCCAGCCAGACUGGGACUGAGACACGGCCCAGACUCCUACGGGAGGCAGCAGUUAGGAAUUUUGCGCAAUGGGGGAAACCCUGACGCAGCCACGCCGCGUGCGGGAUGAAGGCCUUCGGGUCGUAAACCGCCUUUCUCGAGGAAGACACCCGACGGUACUCGAGGCAUAAGCAACGGCUAACUACGUGCCAGCAGCCGCGGUAAUACGUAGGUUGCGAGCGUUGUCCGGAUUUACUGGGCGUAAAGCGCGCGCAGGCGGUUCCGAAAGUCGAGCGUGAAAGCUCCUGGCCCAACUGGGAGAGGCCGUUCGAAACUUCGGGACUUGAAGGCGGGAGAGGCAGAUGGAAUUUCCGGUGUAGCGGUAAAAUGCGUAGAUACCGGAAGGAACACCAGUGGCGAAAGCGAUCUGCUGGCCCGCCCUUGACGCUCAGGCGCGAAAGCUAGGGGAGCGACCGGGAUUAGAUACCCCGUUAGUCCUAGCUGUAAACAAUGGGCACUAGGUGUUGUCGGUAUCGACCCCGGCAGUGCCGAAGCUAACGCAUUAAGUGCCCCGCCUGGGGAGUACGACCGCAAGGUUAAAACUCAAAGGAAUUGGCGGGGGAGCAC
rnacentral:rRNA from 1 species